UUGAAGAAAGGUUUUUCCACUCCGCUAAGGGCUGUCGGGUUUCUGGACGCCGGCAUUCGGGCUGCAAGUUCUGCAGGACAGAUCUGCUUACAGGGUCAUUUGCUCAAGUCAAAGGAUUUUCCUUUUGGGCUGCGUUAUUUGAAUGGAAUGGAGGAUAGGUCUUGAGUUAGGUGGUUUUUCUUUCCAAGGAACUCAGCUCUAUGAUCUCUUCUGUUCCCAGCUGGAGAAAGUUCUCUGCUUUUAAGGACUCAUGUAACUAGAGAGGGCCCACCAGAAUUAUGCAGUAUGAUCUCCAUAUUUUAAGGAAGUUGUGUCAAGGUGGAAAGAAGCAUCCCUGAUAUCUGGUGUGGAAGGCUGGUGACCCCUGGCGCCCUUAACAUGCUGUGCCUCCUUCAUGCCCCUCUCCGAGGAGCCACACAUGCCACCUUAAUGUUAUUAUUGAAUUAAUUAUACUGAAGACCUAUGGCUAAUUCUGGGACAGGGAAAACUUUUUAUUAAAAGAAAAAGCAAAACAAAUCACUUCAUAUUAUCUUAAUAGCAAAGAGAACUUUAAAAAUCAUCUAAGUAUAGGUUUCUGAGGUUAAGAAAUGCAAAUAUUUUCAUAUCCUAAUGACUCUAAAUAGACUGGGGUUUGGGGAUAACUCACAGCUCUUUUAAGACAAAUUAAGCCUUAAAAUAGAAGUGCAAACUAAAUUAUACUUAUUAAUUUGCUACCCUUUUUUUUUUUACUUUAGCUAUUAAUCAUGUUGGGGGCCAUAAUUUGCUAGUUAAUUAUCAAUUUAAAGAAUUUUAAAUUAAAUCAUAAUUUAAACAAAAAUGCUCACUGGCUAGAUUUUCUGCUCUUUCUCUGAUGUAGCAUCACCUAACAGUCCAGCAUAAUAUGAUACUUCAGUUACACUCAAGUUUAUUAUUAGCAAAACCACUAGAGAAUACAAUAAUGUUGGUAUAAAAUCUUAUAUGUGUGUGUGUAUGUGUGUGUGUGGCCUUAGUGUAGUAUUAACCUAUGCAAUGUGGAGAUUUCUGUCAAAUGGAACUUGGAACACUGAAUCUGAAUUUGAAAAUAUAUUUGAUCAUGUCGCAGUAUGUGAACA